AAUUUUGUUCCUUAACCAUCUAGUUCUCAUUCUUUCCUUCCUUCACUGUAUAUUGUGUAACUGUCUUUAUCUUUUAAAGCAUGCACUAUGUCUCUUAAUUGUCUUCAAGAAAAUUGCAAAGCACUCUGUAAUUCUGCAAAUCCAUUACGUCAGCAAGCUAAUAUUUUUAUAACCAUCUAUACUAGUUGUAGACAUGAGUUUCAUCUCCUCAGAAAUCCAAUACAGCUGUUAUUUUAAUGUGGUGUCUCUACAGGGUAAGUGGCUUGUGCAAACAUUGCUUGGCAUCGAAAAGAGUAAAUGCUAAUUCUACUUGAUGGCCUUUUUGCUUUUAUUAGCUUAUUGCAGUUGCACAGAUAUUUUUAUCUCCAUAGGGCAUGUAUGCAUGCACAGUGGUGCAUGCACAUGCAUGCUGGGUGUCUAAUGGUUUAGUUUAUGCGUGAAAGGCUAUGUUAGGUGGUUUUCAGUGCCAAAGUUUACAUUGUUAUUUUUACUUUUGUAAACAAUAUCAGGUAAGCCUUCUAUGUGACAUGCAUAUGGAUUUAGUUAUGUCUCCCCACAUUUACUAUAUACUUCUUGGUUAAACAAAAAAUAUUGUGCAUGGAUGCUGUGGGAAUAUAUUUAUAAUUUUAUAUGAUAAUGAUGAUGUUCAUUCAUUGAAGAUAGAAUUGCCUCAGAUUUAUUUUUAAAGGUAAUUUGAUUAUAUAACCAAUGAACAAUGGCUUGUUAAUGCUGAACCUGACUCUUGUAUUUACAGGGUAAAACUUAUGGUGAAGUUAUUUCAUACUUCUUUUUUACCUUAAUAGCCUUGUAUCAUGCUUGUUUAGUAGCUGAUAAAUGACUAACAAGUUUCUCUAGUACUUUUGUUCAGAUAACCUUUUUUUUUUCUUCUUUAAUUACUGUUUGUUGACUUUU